CUGGAUAUUUUUUGAACAAACGACACUCCAACUACUGCUAAAGUCGGGGGGACUAAAAAAAAAGUUGCUCGGCUUGCGCUUGGUCAGUUUACUUACUACAAGUAAUGGGUAGUAUGUAGCCGGCUAAUUUCCCCGGCUGGGGAGA
rfam:Pseudomonas aeruginosa PAO1, complete genome.